CAAAGCAGGGAGUCUGAAUUUUAUUCUAAGUGUGCUUACAAAUAUUUAGAGUUUAUAAAUAAUUAAGCAGGAAAUUACAGUGAUCUUAUUUAUUAUCCCCUGUGAAGGUCUCCUAUUUUCUCAGAUUAACAAAUUCAUGGUUCUCUUUAAAAGUCCGGCUCAAGUAUCACACGCAUUGUAAAGCCUUUUGUCAUUGUCAGUGAGGCAGUGGUUGCGUGGUCCUGUUUAACCAGCUUUCCUAGAGGUGACUUCUCCCAUUCAGUUCUAUUCAAGUCAAAGAUGAGUCUUAGAGACUGUCUCAUGCUUUAGUAGUUUAUUCUGGCAUCGCUCUUAAAAGAUAGUGGGAAGAGGCUGGGGGUAUAGACCAGAUAGUCAGGGCUCGGAUGAUCAAGAGAGUCUCCAACCAGAGACUGUUCUCAGUGUUGGGGGUUUCUUCCCCCUUUUUAAAACCUGUAUUCAGCUUGGUCAGUUAUCAGAUGUUUCUCUCAUAAAUGGAGUCGAAGCUAUUCUUACAAGGGUAAGCUUUAAGGUUCAUGAAAGUUGCAUCUGUGCUGAAGUGGCCUGGUCUCCUGGAAAUCACUGGGCCAGGGGUGGAAAUCUCCAGGGCCAGUUAGUAUUAUAUUGAUAAAUACAUUUAGUAUCAGCCCCUCAAGACACUUGAGUGAGCCUUAUGGCUAUAAUUAAUCUUAUAGCCACGAUAUAUCUCUUAUAGUACAUUUUCCUUAAUUUUCCAAGUAUCUUCUCUGUCUUUAGUUUUCCCAUUUCAUACAUUCUUGCAUUUACAUGGUACAUUUCUCUACAAUAGUACCUUCUGCUUGUUUUCAACUUGUCUGUUCUACUGAACUGUUAACUCCAUAAGGGUAGGGACUGUGUUUAUCUUCCUGUAUGCAUAGUUUAUAAUGCAGUGCACAGCAUAUCGUAAUGUUAAGAAAAUGAUUACUGAAUGAACAAAUGAGUAUUUCAAUUAUCCCAUAACUUAUGCUUCUGGUCUUAACCUUUCUGUCAAAUUCCAGUUUCUUAUUUUUAAAUGCCUAUUUACAUUUUUAAUUGUCUAGUUUUUCUUCAGACUCAACUUCACAUACCCACAUCUCUUUCCAACUUCUCCAUUUAAUUAAUUAAUUAAUUAAUUAAUUUGAGAGGGAGUUUCCCUCUUGUUGCCUAGGCUGGAGUGCAAUGGUGCAAUCUUGGCUCACUGCAGCCUUUGCCUCCUGAGUUCAAGCGAUUCUCCUGCCUCAGCCUCCCAAGUAGCUGGGAUUACAGGUGCCCACCACCAUGCCCAGCUAAGUUUUUGUAUUUUUAGAAGAGAUGGGUUUUUGUCAUGUUGGCCAGGCUGGUCUCAAACUCCCGGCCCCAGGUGAUCUGCCUACCUCAGCCUCCCAAAGUGCUGGAAUUACAGGCGUGAGGCCCUGCGACUGGCCAACUUCUCCGUUUUUAUUGGUAAUACCAACUUCUUUCUAAUUUCCUUGACCAGAAAUUUUAGAGUACUUUUAUUCUUCCCCUGAUGCUGGGGAUUUCCUUUACUCUAUUUCAUUGACUGUAAGCCUAGUUCAGACUUUUAUCACCUAAUUCCUGGAAAAAUGCAACAAAGUGGCUGGCUGGGGAAUAAUUCUGGCUCAAAUGUCUUCCCUUCUCAAAUCUGUACUGCAUGUCUUUGCAAGAUCAUUGUUAAUUAAAUAUUUUAUUCGUGAGUUCAUGCAUUGUUCCAUUUUCCAAGUAUUUUUGCACACUGAAUGUAUGACAUGCCACUCCCUUAUAUAAAGCCUUACUUAGUGUUCACAUGAACUAAAUGAGAUAGUAUUUUUAUCUCCAUUUUACAGAUAAGGAAAUUAGGAUUUAGAUUAACUGCCCAAAGUCAGUAACACCAAACACAAAAUGGUAGAGCUGAGGCCUGAACACAGGUCUUUUUAGUUGAAAACUCUGAGCUCUGCUUAAUCAUUGUGCUAGUAAGUUCGUAUCCCAAGUUUAAAGUCCUUCUUCACUUUGGAGGAUUUCCAUGAAAUAGCCUACCAAUCCUACUUCCCAUUUCUGCUGCACUUGGAUUUUCUAUUUCAUAUUUCAAAUAUUUUUCUAGUUAUCUCCUGUGCAUUGCCCUUCUCUACUUCAAGUAGAUUGUAAGCUUCUUAAAACCUUACUCUUAUUACACUUGCCUUGCAUUUCUAUGAAGAUCUACUGUUGUAGAUGACACACUAAAUUCUCAGUGAAUAAUUUAUAAAAUCUUUAGCACAGUCCUUGGCACAUAUGCAUGUUUAACAAAUGGUAUCAAUGAUUAUUAUUACUACACAGGGACUGAUGCAUCAAAUUGAAGACCUAACAGGAAACCAGAAAAUUCUGAUCUCUUCCUAAGAACUCUGCUUGCUUUCUCCACAAUUUAGACUAGUGGUUUCCAACAAUAAGUGAGUACAUUUCAGUCUCAUAGUCUCAUCUCUCUACUACGAAACAGUGCUAAGUAUGAUAUAGACAUCACCAUAACAUGAACAACACAGCAAAAUUUUGUCCAUUACUGCUCUCUUUGAGGGUACUUUGGAGAAAGGAAAAUGGAAUAGUUGUAGUUACAUUUUUGAAAAAAUGGUUAAUACCCUAUCUAUCGACAGAUGGAUCUAUUGAUGGAUAAACUUCAUUUAACUUUCAUGAAGUUACUAGCGUCUUGUCAAGACUUCCUGGCUCAAGUUUCUGAUGUACAGAACUUAGCAUUCUUCAGGCACCCCCCUGUUGUAUAAUCCCUGCUUCAUUUUGGCGCUUCAAGCAGAACUGGUUCACAUGCAGCAAUAGGAAAAUCCGACAUUCAGGCCUUGAAUGGUUCACAUGACGCAGUGAAAACGGUCGAUUUAGGACCUCCCUAGUCCUGAUUAUUUUUUUUUUGAGACGGAGUCUCGCUUUCUCACCAGGCUGGAGUGCAGUGGCGCGGUCUUGGCUCACUGCAACUUCCGCCUGCUGGGUUCAAGCGAUUCUCCUGCCUCAGCCUCCCAAGUAGUGGGGAUUACAGGCACGCGCCACCAUGCCCAGCUAAUUUUUGUAUUUUUAGUAGAGAUGGGGUUUCACCAUGUUGGGCAGGCUGGUCUGUGAACUCCUGACCUUGUGAUCCGCCCACCUCGGUCUCCCAAAGUGCUGGGAUUACGAGCGUGAGCCACGGCGCCCGACCCCCUCCCUAAUCCUGAUUUUCGAAGAUAUGACGCACGUAUCCUGCCCCCGCGAGCGCCGAAGCGCUGUCGCGCCACAUACGUCACACGCUCUUCGGAAAGCGUUGCUGCGUAAAUGGCGGGGGCGUGUCUUUUGGCUCCUCCGCGUGUAGUUACCUGAGAAACGCGGGAAGUUGGGCCCAGGCUCUGUUGCUGCGGUUGCCUAAGUUGUUUUACUAUUUCUGGAGAGAGCCGUGAGCUUGUCCAGGGGCCCCAAUCCUGAGGCCCACCCGGUUUCUGGCGCGGUGCGAUGGAGGUAGUGGAGGCCGCCGCCGCUCAGCUGGAAACUCUGAAAUUCAAUGGCACCGACUUUGGAGUUGGGGAAGGUCCGGCGGCUCCGUCUCCGGGCUCUGCCCCUGCGCCAGGGACACAGCCGCCGCUACAGUCGUUUGAGGGGUCCCCGGACGCUGGGCAGACCGUGGAGGUUAAGCCUGCCGGGGAGCAGCCUCUGCAGCCCGUUCUGAACGCCGUCGCGGCCGGGACCCCAGCGCCGCAGCCACAGCCGCCGGCUGAAUCGCCGGCCUGCGGAGACUGCGUCACCUCUCCAGGAGCCGCAGAGCCUGCGCGGGCGCCGGACUCCUUGGAGACCUCGGACUCGGAUUCGGACUCGGACAGUGAAACAGAUUCAGAUAGUUCAAGUUCAUCGUCUUCCUCUUCAUCUUCCUCAUCGUCGUCUUCUUCCUCUUGUAUAUCACUUCCUCCAGUGCUGUCAGAUGGAGAUGAUGAUUUACAAGUUGAGAAGGAAAAUAAGAAUUUUCCUCUUAAAACAAAAGAUGAAUUACUUCUUAAUGAACUGCCUUCUGUUGAAGAACUCACUAUUAUUCUGCCUGAAGAUAUUGAGUUAAAGCCUCUUGGGAUGGUUUCAAGUAUUAUUGAACAACUAGUAAUAAUUGAAUCUAUGACUAACCUACCUCCAGUUAAUGAGGAGACUGUAAUUUUUAAAAGUGAUCGACAAGCAGCAGGAAAGAUAUUCGAGAUAUUUGGACCUGUUGCACAUCCAUUUUAUGUGUUACGGUUUAAUUCUUCAGAUCACAUUGAGAGUAAAGGUAUUAAAAUAAAGGAGACUAUGUAUUUUGCUCCAUCAAUGAAAGAUUUCACUCAAUAUAUAUUCACAGAAAAACUUAAACAGGAUAAGGGAUCAGAUGCAUCAUGGAAGAAUGAUCAGGAACCACCACCAGAGGCCUUAGAUUUUAGUGAUGAUGAAAAAGAGAAGGAAGCCAAACAGAGGAAAAAAUCUCAGAUUCAAGGCCGGAAAAAACUCAAAUCUGAAUUUAAUGAGCCUGGUGAAGAUUUUACUGAAGUACAUCAGAAUUGGAAUGCUCAUAGCUCUGCUUCAGAGCAUGCAAAAGGAUAUCGUAACAGAGAAUUCACACGAGGAUUUUCCAGGGCCAGAUACCCUCGAUCUUGCCAUGCCAGGCCUCCACCUCAGCAUUUCUAUAACUCAGAACAUAUGGUAUCUCAGGAGACUUCAGGAUUUCCUUCUCAGAGACAAGAUAAUCCCAUUAUGCCACAAUACCCCUUUCCUCUUCCAAUGUUUGACAUGCAUAAUUUUCCACUCCGCCCUCCACCCCCACCACCACCCCCACCUGUAAACAUGGGUUGGGCUACACCAAACAUGGCUGCUCAUCCAUUACUUAACUUACCAUACUCCCUACCCCCACCCCCUCCCCCUCCACCGCUGCCUCCUCCACCCUCUUCUGGAGAUAGUAAUUCUCAUUUUGGACCUUACUAUUAGGUGACUAUGCAUUUCCAGAGAAAUGUGGACUUUUCAUAUUAUGUGGUACAGGUAUAUCUCACAGAUAUUGUGGCCUCGGAUCCAGACCAUUGCAGUCAAAACACACUGGGAAGUGCUGUCAUAGAAGAUAGCUGGAAGACAUUCAUGGCAGUGCACAUUUCUUGGAGAUGUGUUUAGUCUUGCUAAGAAGACAAUUAGAAGAUCAUGGGAGCCAGAAGAAAUCUCAAAUCUCUCUCAUUAGGUUAGGAAACUGCUGUUCAUUAGUGUGGGCUCUGGUUCCUGGUAUUCCAGAACUCACUGAAAGUCUGUAAGAUGUACAUUUUUCUCAGGGGGAGAUUCCGUGGCUUUCAUCUUGUUUUCAAAGUAGUAUCUGAAGACAGAAAAAGAGGCUGGAGACAAAGAGUCCGUCAUUUAGGAUAUAAAUAGGAAAUCAUUCUUACAUUAAAAGAAGGGGCACUAUAUUCAGCUUAACAAAUUUAAUGGUCUGUCCCUAUUUUAUGAAGCUGAUUCCAGGCAUAUUGUGAUAAACAGUGAAAUCUGAGCAAGUCCACACAAAUUCUAAGGACAUUCUACAAAUAGUUAAAAAAUGCCCAUACGCAACAAUGACAGAAAAGGAUAAGAUACAAAUGGAAUGUAGAAAAUCAUUCAGAGAGGUUUCUGGAAGGAGAGAAAUGAAGACCAGAAUGAGACCAUUCUCAUAGGCCUAAUAGGCUAAGGUGUCUCUCCAUUUACUUAGAGGACCUGAAAGUUUAUAUAUAAGUCUUAUAGUUGCAUAAUUUGUUUUUGUUAUAGAAAAGCAAAAUAUAUAAAUUGCCCUUAUAAAAAAGUAGAUUCAAUCAUGCUAGUUAAUAUUUUGUUAGUUCUCGUAGAGUUCUAGUCAAAGGACCCAUCGAGGUACUUUUUCACAUAGCUGGCUGGACUGGAUAGAUAUGUCAUGACAGUUCCUAAUGUGGGCAAGUAGCAAUGACCGUUACAAAUGCUCAUAUAAAAUAAGUUUUAUUUCUUUUUUUUUUCUUUUUUUGAGACAGCAUCUCUCUCUGUCGCCCAGCCUGGAGUGCAAUGGUGCGAUAUUGGCUCACUGCAGCCUCUACCUCCCGGGUUUAAGUGAUUCUUGUGCCUCAUCCUCCCAAGUAGCUGGGACUACAGGCAUGUGCUAAUGUACGCCCGGCUAAUUUUUGUGUUUUUAGUAGAGACGGGGUUUCGCCAUGUUGGCCAGGCUGGUCUCAAACUCCUGACCUUGGGUCAUCCACCUGCCUUGGCAUCCCAAAGUGCUGGGAUUACAGGCGUGAGCCACCGUGCCUGGCCAAAAAUAGGUUUUAUUUCUGUCUGUGAAUGUAACAUGAGAUAUGAGAAUAGACUUCAGUUCUCAUACAGUGCUCUACUUGUCAUAAUACUCAUGACAUUUUAUUGUAAUUGAUUGCUUAAAUCAUCUUUUCUGUUUAAGUAUUGUCUGAGGGCCAGCACUGUUUUAUUACACCUGUCCCUACUCUAGUACAGAGAAGCUACUUGAGAGACAGUAACUGAAACCUUGUUUCUAGAUACCGCUUUCUGAUUCAUCACCCCUGGGAUUCUCCUUUGUGUUUCUAGAGUAUAGUGGUUUAUAUGUGUGGAUUCAAGAUUAUUGUGACAAGCAUUAGUGAGGAUUCUUUUUUUUUAAUGACUUGAAAGUAUUUCACAAGGUAUCAUAACCUAUUUUAGCACAGAUUUCCAGGUCAGUUGUUCAUCAAAAAUGGCUCCGAAAGAUAAAUGGAACAUGAAUUCUCUUUUUCUUGGAACUGGUUUUGAGAGGACCCUAUCACCUCUAAUUUGGAAAUCAUAGCAUUUUAGAAAAAUUAUUAUUUUUCCCCUAGGAUAAUAAAAUUUGCUUAAAAAAUUCAACCUCAGAUGACACC